rnacentral:rRNA from 1 species
UACGGGGGGAGCAAGCGUUGUUCGGAUUUACUGGGCGUAAAGGGCGCGUAGGCGGCGUGACUAGUCACUUGUGAAAUCUCCGGGCUUAACUCGGAAAGGUCAACUGAUACUGUGCGACUAGAGUGCAGAAGGGGCAACUGGAAUUCUUGGUGUAGCGGUGAAAUGCGUAGAUAUCAAGAGGAACACCUGCGGCGAAGGCGGGUUGCUGGGCUGACACUGACGCUGAAGCGCGAAAGCCAGGGGAGCGAACGGG